rnacentral:lncRNA from 1 species
UCGGCCCCAGCCUCGGCCUUUGCCGGAACGUCGCCGAACACUUCCCGGUGCAUGGCGGUGACGUAGUUGGAGCCGCUGGGGUCGUCCAGGCGCAUCCGCAGCAGGGGCAGGAAGCGCUCGGUGGUGAAGUAGCGCAGGGUCGGCUUCGGGGCGCGCAAAGCGGUGAGGAAGACCUGCGGCGGCGGGAGGAGAGCUGUGGCCACCGCUGCGCGCCGGAGGACGCACCGCCCCCACUCCUGGAGUCCAGCCCGGCGCUCACCUCCGCCACCUCCUCAGGGUUCUGCGCCGCCUCGCGAAAGACUUGCUUGCUGUGGGCGAGGUAUUGGUAGAAGCGGUGGAAGGUGUGGAUGUCCGUGCGGUCCAGCACCUCCUCUGGGCUGCCCAACACCUUCUCCAUGAAGGCGGUGUGCACUGGGCCGCACUCGAUCAGGCUCAAGCUGCUGGCCGGAGAGCAACGAGUGGGAGGGGGCGGACGCCAGCCAGGCCCCAGUCCCAGCCCCAACCCCAGUCCCAGCCCCAACCACGUCCCGGCCCCCGACCGCGAGCAGCACCGCUGCGCUGGGAAGUGAGGCGGAAAGGGCGCUGGGGAUAACCAGAACAUUUGAAACGCGGGUUCCUGCCGGAGCAGCCCUCCCAAAUCCAUCUGAGGCUACAAGGGAGCCCUGGUGUCAGGAUUCGAAUCUAGCGGGGUCCCUGGCCGCUGUGUGACCUUGGGCCAGUCACCUAACCUCUCUGGGCUGGAGCUUCCCCAUAACAAUACCAACACUUCAGCAGCUAGGUCAGCAGGUGGCACAAUGCGUGCCAUGCGCCCAGCCCAAGUGCCUGGCACACAGCUAAUGUGAGCCGGGCAGAGAGGGCCAGGGAGAUCGCCCCAGAGCGGCUCCCGCAGGACAGGGUGCUCGGCGUCUCUAGGUCAGAGUUAAGAGGGUUCGGGGAACGGGGGUGUUGACUCACUGGACCCCAAAGGGCAGCAGCAGAACCGCCAGACUCUCGCAUAAGCCUUCGAGCGCGAACUUGCUGGCGCAAUAAACGUCAUUGAAAGGCAGCCCUUAGGUGGGGAGACGAGGUUCCUGAGGCGCAGCGGCCAGGGGGUCAUCCCCGGGCAGACGGUGCCCCUCCAAGCUGACGGCACCCCACUCCACCCCCCCCGCGGAACCUGCCUUCAAGGCUCAGCUCCGCACACAAAGAAUCUGGAGCUGCCGAGGCCACUCCCUACCACUCACCCAUCAAUCCUCCCACGCUCCCGGUCACCAACACGCGUCCCGAACCGCGCCUCUUCAUGUCUGGCAGGAAGGCCUGCAGCAUCCGCACAGUCCCUACUACAUUCACGUCCAGCACAGAGGCCACGGCGUCCUCCCCCAGCGCCUCCAGCGGCCCCAGCAGGCCCAGGCCUGCGUUACACACUGCGGAGACAAGAGGCCCGACCAGCCCGCCUCAGCAUCACCCUCAGCACGGCCUGUCCCCUCGUGCUCCCUGGGCCUGGGAACAUGUUGGUUUCAACGCAGGGCGGAGAAGGCUCCUAGGAGCCCAUAUGCUUCCAGGAGGCUCACCCAGCACGUCCACGCGGCCCUCAGUCACGCGUUCCCGGGCAGCGGCCACGGAUUUUGAGUCCCUUACGUCCAGCUGCAACGUCUCCAGGGAUCCCGGAGGGCAUGCCAGGGCCCGGGCCGCCUCCCACAGCCGGCCCUGUGUUUUCAGGUCCCUCAACGUGGCAUACACUGGAGGUUUUGGGAGAGGAGGAAGAUCUGACUUCCCUUCUGGCCUCCAAGGGCUCCUCCCUUCUCUCCCUCCCUGUCCCUGCCUAUCUAUACCUUUGAAGCUCUGGGAUGGAUCUGAAGCCAGACGUACGGCCAAGUGCAGGCCGAUGCCCGAGGAACAGCCGGUGAUGAGCACCACGGUGCGGGCCAUGGUGAGACUGUGGGGAGAGGCUGGGGCUCUGGGCUUGAUAUCACCUGCUUCGCCCCGCCCCGCCUGCGGGCCCCCACCCCUUGUUGUGUCUCCCACGCAAUCUCAAGGAUAAGCCUUCCUGCGGGUCCCUGGCCCGCUCUCCCCACCCUGUUCUGAGCCAAAACAGACAUGAGCCCACUGCUUGGAACAACAAACUGUCCUGGUUGCUGGUCAGAGGGAGGGGAGGCUUUACAAGCAGGUGUGGGUUCCCACGUGGGCACAGAGUGGCCCCCUGGGCAGAUUCCCCUGGGUAUGCCUCUGUGCCACAGGAGCGAUUAUAGUGACCGCAGUUUGCUGCAGAGGCUGUGAAAGUAAAGGCGUUGGGAGGUGGGAGAUGAUUGUAUAUGUGCUGGUUUCGUCCAGGGUUCCUAGCUCAUAACUCACAUGACCAUGGUUACAGUCUUACGUUGUCAUGUUGGGGUGCCUCAGGCCUCAAAAAACAGCCUUUCGUCUCUCUGACCUUCUCCUGUCCUCUUUUCAGCUGCCCAAGGCAGGACUCUAAUCUGAUUGUGGGUUGUAGGAUCCUCAUUCCAGAGUGGGUCCUUGCCCCAUACCCUGGAGAAAGGAAUGCUGCACAAAGGCCCAAAGAAUCUGGACUGGCCUUGCUGGGCUUAGAUCAGACCCUUUUUGCCCAAUCACAUUAUCACAGUUGUCCAUGCUUCAGUCAUGGACAGCCAAUGGAGUUCUCCAUAAAAGGCCCAAAGGACAGGGUUCGGGAGCUUCUGAGGGCUGAACGUGUGGAGGCUGACAGAAUGUGCCCAGAGGGUGACGUAACCCCAACUCUAUGGAGAUAGAAGCUCCUGCUCUGGACCCUUCCAGACCGCCCUGUCUGUAUCUCUUCAUAUGGCUGUUUAUUUCUAUCCUUUAAAAUAUGCUUUGAGGCUGGGCACGGUGGCUCAUGCCUGUAAUCCCAGCACUUUGGGAGGCCCAGGAAAGGGGAUUGUUGGAGCCCAGGAGUUCAAGACCAGGCCAGGUAACAGAGUGAGACCCGGUCUCUGCAAAAAAUAUUAAAAAGCUUCCCAAGUAGCCGGGACUACAGGUGUGUGCCAUCACUGCCACCAUACCCAGCUAAUUUUUUGACUUUUUUGUAGAGACGGGGUCUCACUUUGUUUCCCAGGCUUUUUUUUAUUUUUGAGACAAAGUAUUGCUUAGGUUGGAGUGCAGUGUCUUAAUCUUGGCUCACUGCAUCCUGCAUCUGCCUGGUUCAGGCGAUUCUCCUGCAUCAGCCUCCCGAGUAGCUGGGAUUACAGGCACCCGCCACCACGCCCAGCUAAUUUUUAGUAUUUUUAGUAGAGACGGAGUUUCACCAUGUUGGCCAGGCUGGUCUCAAACCCCUGAUGUCAAGCGAUCUGCCCACCUCAGCCUCCCAAAGUGCUCGGAUUAUAAAAAAGUGCCACCCCACCUGGCCCUGUCAUUUUUAGAAGAUUAUUUUAUUUUGAGACGGAGUUUCGCGCUUCUUGCCCAGGCUGGAGUGCUGUGGCACGAUUCUGGCUCACUGCAACCUCCACCUCCCGGGUUCAAGCAGUUCUCCUGUCUCAGCCUCCCAAGUAGUUGGGAUUACAGACACGUCCCACCACAUCCGGCUAAUUUUUGUAUUUUUAGUAGAGAUGGGGUUUCUCCCUGUUGGUGAGGAUGGUCUUGAACUCCCAACCUAAGGGGAUCAGCCAGCCUCCACCUCCCAAAGUGCUGGUAUUACAGGCGUGAGCCACUGUGCCCAUCCUAAAAGAUCAUUUUAACUGCUCUGGGGUAAUUUCACUGCUGAUGGGCAGGAGUGGAAUCAAGAAAACUAGUUAGGAGGCUACUGCUGUAAUUGAAGGGAGAGAUGACAGUGUGCAGUCUGGAAUAGGGUGAUUUGGGGAUAUGCUUUGAUGAGCAAAGGUAGAGCUGUCAGUAUUUGCUGCUGAAUUGGUUGAAAGGUGAGAGAGACUGGAGUCAAGGACUACUCCAGGGUUUUUAAAACCAGUAUUGGGAAAAAUGGAGUUGUCAUAUAGUAAAGUAGAGAAGACUGGGGGAGGAGCCGGUAGGAGGACUGGAAAUGUGGAAUUGGGGUUUAGACACAUUAAGUUCAUUGUAUCAGGUGGACGUGUUGUAUUGAGUAGGCAGUUGGAGAUACAGACCUGGAGUCUGUGGGAGACAGUGGGGUUUCUUUGGUGGGGGGGUCAUCGGCAUCUAAGUGCUAUUCGAAGUCAUGGGACUGCAGAAGAUUAUAUUAACAAUGUGAAUAUUCACAAGCUUGAAAAAAUGAAUGUACGGAAGAGAGGGGGUCACACUUUACCUCUUAUUAUCCCACCCCCAGGGGUGACCUUGUGAGCCACACCACACAGGUACACACAUGCACGCAUAUGUACACACACUGUCACAGAGGGGCAAAGGGGGUUGGCGAGAGCGGGACUGAGAGCAGAUCCCAGGCCUCAGAAACCCAUGCCACCUGGGCCCCCUCCCUGUGGCCUUCCUGGAUGCUGUAGGGAUAGCAGAUCUGUCUGGGUCAGCAGGGCAAGGCGACUGGCAGGAGGGGGUGGCUGGGAGGCCUCUUCCUCCAAGAGCAGGGGCAGCACAUCAUCCAACAGGCAGAGAAGACCCUCAUCCAGAGGUAGGGGCAGGUCAGGGUGGAGUGCCUGCCUCCUUCCCCUAGUGCCCCACACAAAGCUCCAAGAGCUCCAGCAGGCUCCUGUCUGUUUCCACUUCCCAGGCUUUCUGUGGUCAUGUCCCUGCCCACUCCAAAGGGCCAUCCCCCUCAGCCUUCCCUCCCUCUCAGACCCAGCUGAAUCCCUGCCUCGGUACCGCCCCCUCCUGGGGCACUCCUGCCCCCUUCCUCUGCUGCAUCCUCACCUAGCCUCCUAUCUGUUCACACCUCCCCUGCACCAGACCUCCACAGAAGUUCAGACAGUGGCUCUACAACCCUA